ACGUUCAUGUUGAUUUUGGGACUCACAUUGAACGUCUAUGAACACCGGGUCAGAGGUGACGUCUCCAUGUUUAUUGUGGGCUUUGCAGUAGAAGCUCCCAGAAUCUUCGGGGCGUAUGGAGUUGAAAACGUAAUUUCUUCCUGAAGACCUGAUCCUAGUUUGGCCCUUGUACCAGGUGAAGCUAGCAGCUGGGUUAGCGUCACUGCUGCAGAUCAUUCUCCACGACACAACAAUACACAGCUAAAUCUGAAGACUGGAUGGAGCUGAAGAACAGAUAUUCUCCAUAACUCAUGACCUCCCAUUCUGAAGUUCCAGUCUUCUUGCACCAGCGGUGUCCUGAUGAUGUUGGGGUGUCAGCUCUGCAGAUUCACCAAGAAGAAUUAAUGUUCAAAGAUUCUACCAAAUUCAACCUUCGAGAUGCCAUGGACUUCUGAUAUAUAGUUGAGGCAUAUAUUCGGCUGAAGUCUACCCACGCCACUCAAUUGCAAUUCAAAGAACAGUUCGGAUGUUGUGAAUUUCCAGUCCGCUCAAUCACCUUCAGAUGGGUCAACAAGUUCGCAACCCAUGGAACUGUGCAUAACCUCAAUGGUCAAGACACUAACAGACGAUUACACUCUGGAUGACCGCGGGGGUCAUAAAGAACUUUGCCCGCCGCAUCCAAAUGUGCCUGCAGUGCCAGGGAGCUGAUUUGGAGCACACUUUUAGAGCCCCAAACAGAGUUUUUGUAGAACAUACCUGAAACUUUGGAGAUGUCUGCUACAUAGGGAUGACCUAACGUAGCUCAAGUUUUGUGUCGAUCUAAAUAAAAUUUUGAGAAGUCUGCUACAUAUGCUCGAAUUAUUUGGGUAUAUACUCUCCAGGCCCUUCUAAGGGUGCUGAUGUUUAAUUUUAUUCAUCGUUUGAAAUGUUCUGAACAUGUGAUUGUCUGGGGCCUGACUAACAUUUUGCACAGUUCCAUACGCUGCAUGUCACUGUUCUGGAAGCACUGGUAUAGGUGCCUUUUAAAAGUGGGUCAAUAGAUGACCUAAUUUUUGUAUCAGUGUAGUUUACCGUCUUUUAUUGUUAUUUUGUUUUUAGUUUUGCAUGGUUCGUUCCCUUGUAUUGUGUGGUUGUGGCUUGGACCUUGAGUCUGUUAAUAAAUCUAUCCAUCUAGCUAUCUAUUGAAAAACUAUUUUACAUAUAAGUUCCCAGUUUUGCAAAUCUUUUUUUUUUCUUUUGACAAUACGUAUUUUAAAUUACACAUUUAAAAUUUACUAAUUGUAAUGGCAAAACCUGAAUUAAUACAUACAUUGAAAUCUCAGUUUAAACUGAGAUUUUCCCAUUUCAAAGGUCAAAAAUCAGCUCGUUCGAGCUGUUAUUGUUUUGAUUCUGUGUUUACAACUGAUGUCCCACCUUCCACCAAUCUGCUAAUUACAAGAUCAGUUCUUGGUCUUUGUACAG